GUAAAGCGUGCGCAGGCGGUUUGUAAGACUGUCGUGAAAUCCCCGGGCUCAACCUGGGAAUGGCGAUGGUGACUGCAAGGCUAGAGUUUGGCAGAGGGGGGUAGAAUUCCACGUGUAGCAGUGAAAUGCGUAGAUAUGUGGAGGAACACCGAUGGCGAAGGCAGCCCCCUGGGUCAAAACUGACGCUCAUGCACGAAAGCGUGGGGAGCAAACAGGAUUAGAUACCCUGU
rnacentral:rRNA from 1 species